rnacentral:ncRNA from 1 species
UAAGCAUGCACGCUGCUAUUUUCCGUUUCUUUUUUUACUUUAGCGCCUGAUUUCAGGGGGCUUCGGCGUAAGAAGAGAAACGAAAAGUAGCGCCUGAGCCUCCCCUGUGGAGGCUUUUUUGUU